rnacentral:snoRNA from 1 species
AUGAUCAUACUUCAUAGGAUCAGUUGUAUAGUGUGAUUGCCGAGUCCCUCGUCUAGAAACUCGGAUCAAAUUCAACCACGAUGAAGACCUUGAGUGUGAUUCUCUGAGCGGGGAAGCUGCUCUUGAAUUCUGAAGAGCAUUGAUGACCGUUCUGGUCUGUCCCUCUCCGAAGUUCAGGGGAGGAUCGCACAGGCUGAGUGAU